AGUUCGUCGGCGGUCGGCCUCACCCUGCCAGCCUCCCUCUCAGUUCACCGGCGAAGGCGGAGUUACAGGUCGCCGCUUUCUCUUUCACACUCUCUCUUUUACUCUCUGCUCAACUCCCUCUCACGUCACGCACCGGUCGUCGUUGCGCCGCACCAUUGGCCGCCGCCAUAACAGCCACCUCUCGACGCACCGGUCGCCGGAUGUCGAUGUCCACCACAGUGCUCAGAAUCUAAAGUUAGCCAUUUUGUUAAAUAAAUUGUUAGAUUUAAGACUAUAUUUGAAACUUAUUGUUAGAUUUGUUGAUUUGGCAGCCAUUAAAUUGUUAGAUUUUGUUAGAAAAAUUGUUGAUUUCAGCCAUUUUUGAGAGAUUGAGUUUGUUAGAUUCAGUCAUUUGACUCAUAUCAGCCGUUAAAUUUGUUCAUUUCAGCCAUUGAUUUGGCAGCCAUUUUGUUAGAUUAGAUUAUGGUUUUUGAUUGAGUUUGUUUGAUUCAACCAUUUCAGAUUGGAUUUAUCGAAACUUGUUGAUUUUUUGAAUUUUUUUUAAAUUAAUUAAAAAAUAGUAGAUCCAUGGAUCUGGACCCGCGGACCCGCGGAUCUGACGGAUCUGGAUCCAAAAUUUUCAGAUCCGCGGAUCUGGAUCCGGAUCUGGAUCUGGUAUAUGCAAACGGAUCUGGAUCUGGUAUUGGCCAGACCCGGUCCAGAUCCGGCCCGUUGCCAUCCCUA
rnacentral:lncRNA from 1 species